UUGGAGGGCAAGUCUGGUGCCAGCAGCCGCGGUAAUUCCAGCUCCAAUAGCGUAUAUUAAAGUUGUUGCAGUUAAAAAGCUCGUAGUUGAAUUUCGGGACCAUCAUGUCGGUCGUGCCUCGGUACGUACUGGCAUUGUUGGUUUCUCCCUUCUGACGAACCAUGAUGUCAUUUAUUUGGUGUUGUGGGAAAUCAGGACUGUUACUUUGAAAAAAUUAGAGUGUUUAAAGCAGGCUCACGCUUGAAUACAUUAGCAUGGAAUAAUGAAAUAGGACGUUUGAUUCUAUUUUGUUGGUUUCUAGGAUCGACGUAAUGAUUAAUAGGGAUAGUUGGGGGCAUUAGUAUUCAAUUGUCAGAGGUGAAAUUCUUGGAUUUAUUGAAGACUAACUACUGCGAAAGCAUUUGCCAAGGAUGUUUUCAUUAAUCAAGAACGAAAGUUAGGGGAUCGAAGACGAUCAGAUACCGUCGUAGUCUUAACCAUAAACUAUGCCGACUAGGGAUCGGAUGAUGUUAAUUUUUUAAUGACUCAUUCGGCGCCUUACGGGAAACA
rnacentral:rRNA from 1 species